GCAUUAAUGGGGUAGUGGUAACCUGGGUCGUUGCCAUGUGGCGUCGUAUACAGAUGUCGACCCGCCGGGGGUUCGAUUCCCCCUUAAUGCA